CCUACGGGGGGCUGCAGUGGGGAAUCUUGGACAAUGGGCGCAAGCCUGAUCCAGCGACGCCGCGUGGGUGACGAAGGCCUUCGGGUUGUAAAGCCCUUUUCCCGGGGACGAUGAUGACGGUACCCGGGGAAUAAGCACCGGCUAACUCCGUGCCAGCAGCCGCGGUAAGACGGAGGGUGCUAGCGUUGUUCGGAAUUACUGGGCGUAAAGGGCGCGUAGGCGGCCGCUCAAGUCGGGUGUGAAAGCCCGGGGCUCAACCCCGGAACUGCACUCGA
rnacentral:rRNA from 1 species